rnacentral:sRNA from 1 species
CACACCAAUAGAAGCGUCUUAGCAAGGCGA